UUCGCAAUGCCCGAAAGGGUGACGAUGCGACGCCGCGUGAGCGAAGAAGGCCCUAGGGUUGUAAAGCUCUGUCGAGGGUUAUGAAAUAUAGAUGGGUUAAUACCCCAUUUAUUUGAUAAAAGCCCAAAAGGAAGCCACGGCUAACUCUGUGCCAGCAGCCGCGGUAAUACAGAGGUGGCGAGCGUUGUUCGGUAUUAUUGGGCGUAAAGAGCACGUAGGUGGUUUUGUAAGUCAGGUGUGAAAGCCUUCUGUUCAAAGGAAGAACGGCAUCUGAAACUGCAGUUCUUGAGUGUAGGAGGGGAGAGUGGAACUUCUGGUGGAGCGGUGAAAUGCGUAGAUAUCAGAAGGAACGUCGGCGGCGAAAGCGACUCUCUGGCCUAUUACUGACACUGAGGUGCGAAAGUUAGGGGAGCAAACGGGAUUAGAUACCCCGGUAGUCCUAACCGUAAACGAUGGGCACUAAGUAGAGGGGUUUU
rnacentral:rRNA from 1 species